AUUCUUGUUGUGAGGAAAGUCCGGGCUCCUCCGGAAAGAAUGCCGGAUAACAACCGGGCCAAUAUGGUAGAUGUAAUUAAUUUGCAUAUCCCAUAUUGGACAGAAAGUGCAACAGAAAAUGUACCGCCUGUUUACAGGUAAGGGUGAAAAGGUGGUGUAAGAGACUACCGCAUACGUGGUAACACGUAUGGCAUUGCAAACCUCAUUCGGAGCAAAAUUGAGCAGAAGUUUGGUUUCCGGCCUUAUACUUCGGGUAGAUUGCUAAAGGUAUCUGGUAACAGAUAUUUCGGAUAGAUGGUUAUGUCGUUUAUACGAUGACAGAACUCGGCUUAUUGUUCCAUC
rnacentral:RNase_P_RNA from 1 species